rnacentral:misc_RNA from 1 species
GAUGAAGAACGCAGCGAAAUGCGAUAAGUAAUGUGAAUUGCAGAAUUCAGUGAAUCAUCGAAUCUUUGAACGCAUAUUGCGCUCCUUGGUAUUCUGAGGAGCAUGCCUGUUUGAGUGUCAUUAAAUUCUCAACUACACUGACUUUGAAUUGGUGUGGCUUGGAUUUGGGGGGAAAAUUGUUGUGGGCUUUUUGUAUAGUCUGCUCCCCUGAAAUUGAUUAGCGGUACCUUUGUGGAACUGUCUACAGGUGUGAUAAUUAUCUACAUCUUAGACAUCUGCUGGAAUGCUGCUUUCUAAACCUUACUUGUAUUGACAAUCUUGACCUCAAAUCAGGUAGGACUACCCGCUGAACUUAAGCAUAUCAAUAAGCGGAGGA